ACAAGCGGUGGAGUAUGUGGUUUAAUUCGAUGCAACGCGAAGAACCUUACCUGGUCUUGACAUCCCGGAGACCCUUAGGAACUAGGGGUGCUUCCAUCUGGAAGAAUCUGGAGACAGGUGCUGCAUGGCUGUCGUCAGCUCGUGUCGUGAGAUGUUGGGUUAAGUCCCGCAACGAGCGCAACCCUUGCCUUUAGUUGCCAGCAGUUCGGCUGGGCACUCUAAAGGGACUGCCGGUGUUAAACCGGAGGAAGGUGGGGAUGACGUCAAGUCCUCAUGGCCUUUAUGACCAGGGCUACACACGUACUACAAUGGCCGAUACAAAGGGCAGCGACACUGCGAGGUGAAGCCAAUCCCGUAAAUCGGUCUCAGUCCGGAUUGGAGUCUGCAACUCGACUCCAUGAAGUUGGAAUCGCUAGUAAUCGUGGAUCAGCAUGCCACGGUGAAUACGUUCCCGGGCCUU
rnacentral:rRNA from 1 species